UACAGAGGGUGCAAGCGUUGUUCGGAAUUAUUGGGCGUAAAGGGCGCGUAGGCGGUGCUGUAAGUCUGUAGUGAAAUCUCUGGGCUCAACUCAGAGUCUGCUAUAGAAACUGCAGUGCUGGAGUGUGGGAGAGGUGAGUGGAACUCCCGGUGUAGCGGUGAAAUGCGUAGAUAUCGGGAGGAACACCUGUGGCGAAAGCGGCUCACUGGACCAUUACUGACGCUGAUGCUCGAAAGCUAGGGGAGCAAACAGG
rnacentral:rRNA from 1 species